UACGAAGGGGGGCUAGCGUUGCUCGGAAUCACUGGGCGUAAAGGGCGCGUAGGCGGCCAUUCAAGUCAGGGGGUGAAAGCCUGUGGCUCAACCACAGAAUUGCCUUUGAUACUGUUUGGCUAGAGACCGGAAGAGGUAAGUGGAACUGCGAGUGUAGAGGUGAAAUUCGUAGAUAUUCGCAAGAACACCAGUGGCGAAGGCGGCUUACUGGUCCGGUUCUGACGCUGAGAAGCGAAAGCAUGGGGAGCGAACAGG
rnacentral:rRNA from 1 species